rnacentral:tRNA from 6 species
GGAGGAAUACCCAAGUCUGGCUGAAGGGAUCGGUCUUGAAAACCGACAGGCGGUGCGAGCCGCGCGGGGGUUCGAAUCCCUCUUCCUCCGCCA